rnacentral:lncRNA from 1 species
UUCUGCUUCCUGACCAAAAGUUGGUGUUCCUUCUGUAGCCAUUUGUAGCAAGCCAUGACUCUCAUUUCUAGGGGAACUAAUCUUGCUCUGUCGCUCAAGCUGGAGUGCAGUGGUGUGAUCUCAGCUCACUGUAAGUUCUGCUGCCCAAGUUGAAGCGAUUCUUCCACCUCAGCAUCCUGAGCAGCUGGGACUACAGGUACACACCACUGCACCUGGCUAAUCUUUAUAUUUUUAGUAGAAGUGGGAUAUCACCAUGUUGGCCAGGCUGGUCUUGAACUCCUGACUUCAAGUGAUCUGCCUGUCUUGGCCUCCCAUACUGCUGGGAUUACAAGUGUGAACCACCAUGCUGGCCUGUGACAUUUUAAUCUAGUCAAUCAGUCUUGGAAAAUAAAGCCUUGCUUUCUGUGGCACCUAAACCAACUGAUAUGGUUUGGCUCUGUGUCCCCACCCAAAUCUCUUCUUGAAUUGUAAUCCCCAUAAUCCCCACGUAUUGAGGGAGGACCUAUAGGGAAGUGAUUGGAUCCUGGGGGCCAUUCCCGCACGCUGUUCUUGUGAUAGUGAAGGAGUUCUCAUGAGAGCUGAUGGUUUUAUAAGUGUUUGGAAGAUACCCCUUCACGGCACUCUCCCUCCUGCUGUCUUGUGAAGAAGGUGCCUUGUUCCCCUUCACCUUCCACCAUGAUUGUAAGUUUCCUGAGGCCUCUCCAGCCAUGUGGAAUGGUGAGUCAAUUAAACCUCUUUCUUUUAAAAAUUACCCAGUCUCAGGUAUUUCUUUAUAGCAGUGCAAAAACUGACUAAUACACCAACCUCUUUGAUAUCAGUUUCAUGUCAAGAAUAAGAAAAAUAAGGAAGAAAAUUGGGAGAUCGACAUAUUGAAAUUUAAAGAAUAGAAUUGGGUUUGAAAAAAAUGUUUUAG